AUCCAGCUAACGAGUCCCGAAUAAGACGAAACGCGCAUCCUGGAU
rnacentral:hammerhead_ribozyme from 1 species